rnacentral:rRNA from 1 species
CAGCCGCCGCGGUAAUACGUAGGGUGCGAGCGUUAAUCGGGAUUACUGGGCGUAAAGCGUGCGCAGGCGGUUGUGUAAGACAGGUGUGAAAUCCCCGGGCUUAACCUGGGGACUGCGCUUGUGACUGCACAGCUAGAGUAUGGCAGAGGGGGGUGGAAUUCCACGUGUAGCAGUGAAAUGCGUAGAGAUGUGGAGGAACACCGAUGGCGAAGGCAGCCCCCUGGGCCGACACUGACACCGAGAGACGAAAGCUAGGGGAGCAAAUGGGAUUAGAUACCCCUGUAGUCCAUGUCUCUUAUAC